rnacentral:rRNA from 1 species
CUGCUGCCUCCCGUAGGAGUCUGGUCCGUGUCUCAGUACCAGUGUGGGGGACCUUCCUCUCAGAACCCCUACGCAUCGUCGGUUAGGUGGGCCGUUACCCCGCCUACUGCCUAAUGCGCCGCAUGCCCAUCCCUGUCCGGCCGAAGCCUUUUCCUGCCUCCGGGAUGCCCCGGUGGCAUGUACGCGGGUUUAGCCCGCCUUUCGGCGGGUUGUCCCCCUGACAGGGGCAGGUUGCAUACGUGUUACUCACCCGUGCGCCGGUCGCCGGCGGAGAAG